rnacentral:rRNA from 1 species
CUCAUGAUGAACGCUAGCUACAGGCUUAACACAUGCAAGUCGAGGGGCAGCAUGGUCUUAGCUUGCUAAGGCCGAUGGCGACCGGCGCACGGGUGAGUAACACGUAUCCAACCUGCCGUCUACUCUUGGACAGCCUUCUGAAAGGAAGAUUAAUACAAGAUGGCAUCAUGAGUCCGCAUGUUCACAUGAUUAAAGGUAUUCCGGUAGACGAUGGGGAUGCGUUCCAUUAGAUAGUAGGCGGGGUAACGGCCCACCUAGUCUUCGAUGGAUAGGGGUUCUGAGAGGAAGGUCCCCCACAUUGGAACUGAGACACGGUCCAAACUCCUACGGGAGGCAGCAGUGAGGAAUAUUGGUCAAUGGGCGAGAGCCUGAACCAGCCAAGUAGCGUGAAGGAUGACUGCCCUAUGGGUUGUAAACUUCUUUUAUAAAGGAAUAAAGUCGGGUAUGGAUACCCGUUUGCAUGUACUUUAUGAAUAAGGAUCGGCUAACUCCGUGCCAGCAGCCGCGGUAAUACGGAGGAUCCGAGCGUUAUCCGGAUUUAUUGGGUUUAAAGGGAGCGUAGAUGGAUGUUUAAGUCAGUUGUGAAAGUUUGCGGCUCAACCGUAAAAUUGCAGUUGAUACUGGAUAUCUUGAGUGCAGUUGAGGCAGGCGGAAUUCGUGGUGUAGCGGUGAAAUGCUUAGAUAUCACGAAGAACUCCGAUUGCGAAGGCAGCCUGCUAAGCUGCAACUGACAUUGAGGCUCGAAAGUGUGGGUAUCAAACAGGAUUAGAUACCCUGGUAGUCCACACGGUAAACGAUGAAUACUCGCUGUUUGCGAUAUACUGCAAGCGGCCAAGCGAAAGCGUUAAGUAUUCCACCUGGGGAGUACGCCGGCAACGGUGAAACUCAAAGGAAUUGACGGGGGCCCGCACAAGCGGAGGAACAUGUGGUUUAAUUCGAUGAUACGCGAGGAACCUUACCCGGGCUUAAAUUGCAGAUGAAUUACGGUGAAAGCCGUAAGCCGCAAGGCAUCUGUGAAGGUGCUGCAUGGUUGUCGUCAGCUCGUGCCGUGAGGUGUCGGCUUAAGUGCCAUAACGAGUGCAACCCUUGUUGUCAGUUACUAACAGGUUCCGCUGAGGACUCUGACAAGACUGCCAUCGUAAGAUGUGAGGAAGGUGGGGAUGACGUCAAAUCAGCACGGCCCUUACGUCCGGGGCUACACACGUGUUACAAUGGGGGGUACAGAGGGCCGCUACCACGCGAGUGGAUGCCAAUCCCCAAAACCUCUCUCAGUUCGGACCGGAGUCUGCAACCCGACUCCACGAAGCUGGAUUCGCUAGUAAUCGCGCAUCAGCCACGGCGCGGUGAAUACGUUCCCGGGCCUUGUACACACCGCCCGUCAAGCCAUGGGAGCCGGGGGUACCUGAAGUGCGUAACCGCGAGGAGCGCCCUAGGGUAAAACUG